rnacentral:lncRNA from 13 species
AUGGAAGCGUUUUUCGCGGAGGUGUUGUAUCUCCAGCAGGCUGAAGUGACAAGAGAGAGAGUGUACGCUAUGCAUCAGUCCAGUAUAGAUGGGGUGGAGGACAUGUCCACUCUGGCAGAACUACACGAAGCUGCCAUCAUGCACAACCUCUACCAACGCUACCAGAAAGACAGCAUCUAUGUAAGUCACACAAUAACACACACACACGUGCACGCACACACACAUGCAUGUGCUAUACCAUGAAUGCCUCCCCUCUUCUUCCGGUAAUCUCCUGGCUAAAGGCUUUUGACGGGAAACACAAAUCAGUUUAUAUCAUCUCUUCUUCUGUCCGCGUGUGUGUGUGUGUGUGUGUGUGUGUGUGUGUGUGCGUGCGUGUGUGUGUGUGUGUGUGUGUGUGUGUGUGUGUGUGUGUGUGUGUGUGUGUGUCUGGGGAGGUGGUCAAUAAAUUACACACUCUUGCAUGGUAACUAGCUAAGUAGUUCACAUCUGCUUUACUGCCACCCAGCCUCAGCCCUACUACCCAUAAUGCACCUCUCUACAGUAGUAGACAACAGUACUGUGUUUUCCCCUAAAUAGAGAUAGGUUUGAUAUCAUGAAUUGACAGGCAGACAGACACAGAACAUAGAAAUAUACAUGGAUUAAAGGACACAGAGACACACAGAGUGACCUAAUGUAGAUGAGGGGACACACUGUGUGUGUCUGUGUGAGACAGGGGGCACGGCGGAUGACCUUAUCGAGAUGAUGAGGAGGGAUUUCCUUUAAGCUGAUCGCAUUAGUUCACCCGGUGUGCUGGUCACGUUUCUGUGUCAGUGUGUGUGUCAGUGUGUGUGUGUCCAGAGAAUAUGCGGAGCACAGAAUAUGAUCCGAUGUGAGGCUUGCUGACUUGAUGUGUCAGCAGAACGUAAGGGAAGUAAACAAGAACUGCUCUUUUCUAAUACUCCAAAAUGGCUGGCCUCCUCUCUCCUUUCUCCUCUCUCCUCUCUCCUCUCUCCUUCCUCCUCUCUCCUCUCUCUAGUUCUGUUCUCUCCUCUCUCCUCUCUCCUUUCUCCUCUCUCCUCUCUCCUCUCUCCUUUCUCCUCUCUCCUCUCUCUAGUUCUGUUCUCUCCUCUCUCCUCUCUCCUUUCUCCUUUCUCCUCUCUCCUCUCUCCUCUCUCCUUUCUCCUCUCUCCUCUCUCUAGUUCU